ensembl:lncRNA
UGAAUUUUAGAAGAACUCAUUGCACAAAUUGUGUAAACCUACUAAGGAUGGCUGAUAGCAAAAUGGCUGUAUCCCAGUGGAGCCCCACAUUUGUAAAAGAGCUCCUCCCUGCUGCCGAAAAGACAGCUCUUCUCUACCAUCUCUCUUACCUGUGCCUGGCCAACUUCCCCAACCUGGAGAGGAUCAUCAGGAGUCGGGCUGUGGAAACCCAGCUUCUGUUUGGCUCCUCUGAUGCAACUAUGUUGAAAUGUAUUUUGACAAGUGAAAACCUGGUUCAGUCACUGUUUCCCAUGUUGGCGAAAGCUGUGGAGAAAAAUAAGGCAGUUUUGGCAGUCAAAUUUCUAGGGAAAGCACGAGUCUGGAUCAAAGAAAUUAUAAGUGAAGUGGACAGGAUAGUGCAAAAGUAUGAUUUACACAACAAAGAUGUAGCAUCAUCCACCAGUGAUGUUAUCAAGGAAAAAUUAGAUACUGAUAAAAAGAUUACAGAACAAGACCAUCAAAUGAAGCAGACUGAAAAUACUCUGAAUGAUCUGAAAUCAAAACUCCAAAAAAACACUGAAGAGCUUGCUGAAGUUGAGAGAAAGAUAAACUGCAAAAGCCAAGAGAUUCAAGAAUUUGCCAGAUCCAUAACCCAAAAAAGUAAAGGCCUUGGCAUCUUUGCUGCAAUUGUUCCAUUUAUCGGUCCAAUUGUGAAAAGCAUUUAUGAUGCUGUACAUGAUCCUGAAGAUGUUGCCCGUAUAAAGGCUCUUGAAGCUGAAUUGAAUAACCUCAUCGCUGAUAAGACUGCUCUGAGACAAAAGCAGUGGCAGCUCGAACUCCAAGUCAUUGAUUGGCAGAUGAAGUUUGCCAAAGCCAAUUUUGACCGGAAUUCCAUACCCGACCCCAUCCAUCUAAAUGAGGUUCAGAGCAGCUUGUCAAAAAUUCAGGCAAUUCUGAUUCAGCUGAAAAACUUCUGGGAGAAUGUUGCUCAAAUGCUGGACUACCUGGAACAAAAGACCUUUGUUGGAGAAGAUCUUAUUGAAGACCUUGCCGAACUAAAAGAUGAAUUUCUAGAAUCAAUCAAAACAGCGGAAGGGGCUUGGAGCAGUUUUGGUGAAGGCUGUAAAAAAGCAUCUUUCAUCUUCAAGCUCCAAACCAAAGAUGCCUACCAGUUUCUGGAGGUCAGUCCUUCCUCGCUCUCCAAGGAGCAGUGGCAAACAGAAUAUGAAAGUGUAAAGGAAAAACUGACAAAAAUAGACCCACCACAAAGUGUGACACCCUCUAAUACACCUGCCAUUUCUAAGUGAUCUACAUGUACAACUACAACAUCCCAUUUGUUUUCUGUUUCUUGAUGCUGGUAACCCGGGAUGAUAAUGUUUAGCUUUUUAAAUGCUGUACUUGUAAACUCUAGUUCUCUAGUCUCUUCUACUCAAUGCCUAAAACAAUCUUUAUAUAUUCUCUGCUCUGUAUGUAUCAUCUUUUUAUGAGUUCUUGCAAAAAGACUUUUGUUGAAUGCAUAAAUAUUUGGUUGAAUGGUUCUCUGAAUAAAGUUUGACAUAAUAACA